rnacentral:lncRNA from 1 species
CUGGAGACUUCAACCUGUGCCCUUUGGCCUAAACCUUCAGGGUCCUAACCUGUCCAAUCUCUCUCUCCUUCCUCAGGAAUCACUUCAAUUCCCUGACUACUUGGUUGGCUUUCUUUGAGAUUCCUUCCAGAUAUCUGGCCUUUUCACCCUGGAGUUCCUGCAUCCAGAGUGGCUCUUCUGUAAAGACGGCAGUAGUUCAGAUCCUUUGGAGUCCCAGCCAUCUUAGAGCUCAAGAUAAGUUUGUGAGCAUUGCGAAGCAAAAGAAAAAAAAGAAAGAGAUUCACCAUCUAGCCAGCUGCGUAAAGAAGAAAUCCAUUCCCACCUGUCUGCAUUUGAUUGAACCUCCAUGAACCGCCAAUGCCACGCACCCUGGAGGAACCAGAUUAAAGACCUACAGGAGACAUCAUAUAGAUCUUCUUAGACAGGUGCUUUUCACACCUCUGCAGUUUAUCUAAGGCUCACUUCACAAAGACUUGGAGGGAGCCCUGCCCUUCCUGAAGCACAUGAAGUAAAAUAAACCCAGAGCUAAAGGUAAGAUGCUCAAGAC